GUGCAAUGAUGAAGUAGCCAUGCUAAUACUGAGUCACAUAUAAUGUGUCUGUGAGUUAAACCAAGCUACUGAGCAUU